rnacentral:rRNA from 1 species
AUUGAACGCUGGCGGCAGGCCUAACACAUGCAAGUCGAGCGGAGCUGGUGACGGGCGAGUAAUGCCUAGGAAUCUGCCUGGUAGUGGGGGAUAACGUCCGGAAACGGGCGCUUAUCACGCAUACUAUCAGAUGAGCCUAGGUCGGAUUAGCUAGUUGGUGAGGUAAUGGCAUACCAAGGCGACGAUCCGUAACUGCUCUGAGAGGAUGAGGAGUCACAGUGGAACUGAGACACGGACCAGCGUUCUACGGGAGGCAGCAGUAGGGAAUAUGGGACAAUGGGCGAAAGCCUGAUCCAGCCAUGCCGCGUGUGUGAAAAAGGUCGUCAGAUUGUAGACCAAGUUAGGUUGGGAGGCGUUACCAACAGAAUAAGCACCGGCUAACUACGUGCCAGCAGCCGCGGUAAUUC